rnacentral:misc_RNA from 1 species
AACGAGGCCGACCUGCGGCUGAGUUACCUGCGGAGGGAUCAUUACAUUCAGUAGCCUAGCUACUUGUUUAUACCCUUGUUUUUUGCGUACCUAUUGUUUCCUCGGUGGGCUUGCCUGCCGAUUGGACAAAACUAUAACCUUUUUAAAUCUUCAAUCAGCGUCUGAAUUAUACAUAAUAAUUACAACUUUCAACAACGGAUCU